GUAUCUCUGUUUGCUUCAGGUGCUGAGCAGCUUUGCUGUUUAGUUAAAAGGGAAGACCGGUGACAAGCCGGCGCGGUCCCGCCACUGUAUUGGGGAGCGACUUAUCGUUAAGCCACUGUUUCGCUAGAAAUGGGAAGGGAUAAGGAGCGGUGAACCAGAGCCAGGAGACCUGCCUGUUGUACGCACUUUAC
rnacentral:ncRNA from 2 species